rnacentral:rRNA from 1 species
UAGGUUCUGCUAUCACUCUUGGGAUGGACCUGCGGUGCAUUAGCUAGUUGGUAAGGCAACGGCUUACCAAGGCAAUGAUGCAUAGCCCGAGUUGAGAGACUGAUCGGCCACAUUGGGACUGAGACACGGCCCAAACUCCUACGGGAGGCAGCAGUAGGGAAUCUUCCACAAUGGACGCAAGUCUGAUGGAGCAACGCCGCGUGAGUGAAGAAGGGUUUCGGCUCGUAAAGCUCUGUUGGUAGUGAAGAAAGAUAGAGGUAGUAACUGGCCUUUAUUUGACGGUAAUUACUUAGAAAGUCACGGCUAACUACGUGCCAGCAGCCGCGGUAAU